rnacentral:rRNA from 1 species
AUUGAACGCUGGCGGCAGGCCUAACACAUGCAAGUCGAACGGUAACAGGAAGACGCUUGCUUCUUUGCUGACGAGUGGCGGACGGGUGAGUCAUGUCUGGGAAACUGCCUGAUGGAGGGGGAUAACUACUGGAAACGGUAGCUAAUACCGCAUAACGUCGCAAGACCAAAGAGGGGGACCUUCGGGCCUCUUGCCAUCGGAUGUGCCCAGAUGGGAUUAGCUAGUAGGUGGGGUAACGGCUCACCUAGGCGACGAUCCCUAGCUGGUCUGAGAGGAUGACCAGCCACACUGGAACUGAGACACGGUCCAGACGCCUACGGGAGGCAGCAGUGGGGAAUAUUGCACAAUGGGCGCAAGCCUGAUGCAGCCAUGCCGCGUGUAUGAAGAAGGCCUUCGGGUUGUAAAGUACUUUCAGCGGGGAGGAAGGGAGUAAAGUUAAUACCUUUGCUCAUUGACGUUACCCGCAGAAGAAGCACCGGCUAACUCCGUG